UCGGGAAAAAUGUGAGACAACAAAUCCUAGAUUAUCAACUUAGGUAACAGAGAGGAGGAAGGCCCAAGCAAACAUAAGAAAAAAGUUCUGUACUGAAACACAGCUAUUCCAUUCUACUCAUUUGUAAAGUUAAAGUGUGAAUAUUAGAAAGUAAUACAAUAUUAAGGACACUAAAAGAAAGAAUACCCCCUAGAUUUGUGGUACAAGUGUGUGGCUGUGAAAAACAACUUUAUACAUGAAGAAUUCACUGGAGUAAAUAUCAGAGUAUAAACAAAAGGGUUUGGAAUUGAGAUGAUGCAUUUGAUUUAAUACAAAGUGGAAAAAAUAGAAGAUAAGAGACAAGAAGAUUGUAAUUGUGUUUCAUGUAUUCUGUGAUUCCAACUGGAUGAAUAAUAAGCAAGAAAUGUACAGAGCUGUCUAAAAAUUAAAUUGCUUAUGUUGGGGGAGUGAAGGAUAUGAGAUUAUGGGUGUCUUAUUGUUUUAUUUUUCAAAAAUUUCCUUAAUGUGGCUGCUGUGGUUUGAAUGUCCCCUCUAAAAGUCAUGUUGAAAUUUAAUCCCCAAUGCGGCAGUAUUGAGAGGCAGAGUCUUUAAAAGGUAGUUGGGUCAUGAGAGCCCUCAUGAAUUAAUGGAUUAAUGAGUGAAUGAAUGAAUGGGUCAUCAUGGGAGUGGGACUGGUGGUUUUAUAAAGAGAAGAGAGACCCCAGUGAACAAACUUAGCCGCCUCACCAUGUGAUUCCCUUUGCCGCCUCAGGACGGCAAGAGGCCCCACCAGUAAGAAGGCACUCGUCAGAUGUCCCCCUGACAUUGAACUCUACAGCCUCCAGAACAGUAAAAAAAAAAAAAAGUUUGUUUGUCUAUAAAUUACCCAGUUUCAGGUAUUCUGUUAUAAGCAGUAGAAAAUGGAGUGAGAAAUGGCUCUAUGAGCUUUUCAAAUAAAAUAACAUGUAAGAAUAAUUCCUGGCCUAUUGCCUGACAGUCAUAGUGUUCCCCAUUCUAUUUCUGUCACUUAUUUGGGAAGGUUUUCCUGAUUCUCACCUCUCACCCCAGUCAUCCCUGUGGCAUGUUUCUAUAUCACUGUAUUGAUGACAAUUUACUGUACUAUAAAGUACAGUACUGAUGACAACUUUACAGUUAAUGCUUUGAUUUUCUAUCUUCUCUGGUAGACAUGGGCUUUUGCAGGUGAGGGCAGUAUAUUUUCUUGCUUACUGAUACAUCUUUAGUAUGUAGCUAGUGCCUUGUCUAUGAUAGGUACCUAAUAAAUAUUUAUUGCCUAAAUUCUCAAGUCUCCAAAUAAAAGAGAACACCAAAAAGCUAAGACUUUUAUUUUACACUGUCUUUGGCUCUUUUGGUCUCAGGCACUUUUGGAACCCACACCUCACUUUCUCUUCGUCUUGACAAACACUGUCCAAAUUUUUCAGCCAACCCAAAGCUGUAAGUAGAUCUUACUCAAACAACUUUAGCAUGUAAGAGUUAGAAGAGCCCCUCAACAUAUCUAUUCCAAACACCUUCCUCCAAAGUUGACACAGAUUUUCUUAGCAACAGUCAAGAUGAGUAAUCACCCAGUCUUCCCUUGAGCACUUUGAGUGAUGGUGAACUCCCCAUUUUUCAAGACAGCUCAUUACCUUUUCAGAGAAAUCUCUUCUAGACUUGGUAAACAUGAGGUACAUGUGCUGACACUCUGAGCCCCACACUUGUGGCAGAGAUCACCAAUUAAUCACAAUGUUUUUUUUUUUUCCCACCAAGCCUAGGUUUAGCUUUAGAAUCAUCCUCAACAUUAUUUUUCAUUUGGAUGGAGGUCAAUUUUCAGUCCCUGCUGCAGUUAUGAGAAAGUUAAGUCUUCUACACAUUGCUCUUCUUCAUGUUCUCUGUGAGCACACAGGACUCUAAUAGUCUGGGGUGAGGACAGCGUCAGCCCUGAAGUUUUGAGCCCAUUCCUGGAACACAGUUUGGGAAAGACAAAAUCUGCAGGCUGGUGUGUUGGUAUUAGGCUCUCCAAAGCCUGAGAUCCACAAGGUCAAAUAUUGGAAACAGGCAUUUCUUAGGCACUAUGAAUAAUCUUUCCACUGACUUCUGAAAGCCUAUAUCAGGGAUGGAAGCCUAGGGUCAUUGAGGCACUGGGAUCCAGGUUGAGGGCAGGUCAAGGCUGCUUGUGGUAAAGCUGGGACUAGAACCUCAGUCUGUGAUCUCUAAUCCGUUGAGUCCCCUAUCAGACCAAAUUGAUUUUUCUUUGAUAAAGCAUUAACCUACUAUUUCCCCAAUUUCAUUUUGAAAUCAUGGGUUGAGUCAUGAAGAAGGCAGGUCAUCUACCUAUAUAGAAGAACGCUGGGUCUACUGAAACAUAGAGUGAUUCCUUGCAGCUUCCAGAAGGGUUUGGGAGAUUCAGUUGUGAAUAAUGCUAACACAGUUGCAAUGUUAGAUUAGUACAGGUUUACUUUUAAAUAUUUAAUAAUAUAAAAGACUUGCAUAGCUUCAAUUCAUUUAAGCUUCCCAAUAAUGGGUAAAU
rnacentral:lncRNA from 1 species